CAACUUGAGAGUUUGAUCCUGGCUCAGAACGAACGCUGGCGGCAGGCCUAACACAUGCAAGUCGAGCGAACCCUUCGGGGUUAGCGGCGGACGGGUGAGUAACGCGUGGGAACAUACCCUUUGGUACGGAAUAGCCUCGGGAAACUGGGAGUAAUACCGUAUGUGCCCUUCGGGGGAAAGAUUUAUCGCCAAAGGAUUGGCCCGCGUUGGAUUAGGUAGUUGGUGGGGUAAUGGCCUACCAAGCCGACGAUCCAUAGCUGGUUUGAGAGGAUGAUCAGCCACACUGGGACUGAGACACGGCCCAGACUCCUACGGGAGGCAGCAGUGGGGAAUCUUAUACAAUGGGGGAAACCCUGAUCUAGCCAAGCCGCGUGAUCGAUGAAGGCCUUAGGGUUGUAA
rnacentral:rRNA from 1 species